UUGACAGCCCUGGAGACUGAAGUCAACUGUUGAUCAUAGAACAGGUGCAACCCAGGCAACGGCAGUAGAUGCCUGUUAAUGUGGCCCUCCUAUAGACCUCAACCUUGUGAAGGCUCUGUCUUUCAUCAAGACCUGGGCUAAA
rnacentral:sRNA from 1 species